rnacentral:rRNA from 1 species
AACGAACGCUGGCGGCAGGCUUAACACAUGCAAGUCGAACGCGUGUAGCAAUACACGAGUGGCGCACGGGUGAGUAACGCGUGGAUAUCUGCCUUUUGGUUCGGAAUAACUCCGGGAAACUGGAGCUAAUACCGGAUGGUUCCUUCGGGAUAAAGAUUUAUCGCCAAAAGAUGAGUCCGCGUACGAUUAGCUAGUUGGUGAGGUAAUGGCUCACCAAGGCGACGAUCGUUAGCUGGUCUGAGAGGACGAUCAGCCACACUGGGACUGUGACACGGCCCAGACUCCUCCGGGAGGCAGCAGUGGGGAAUAUUGGACAAUGGGCGCAAGCCUGAUCCAGCCAUGCCGCGUGAGUGAUGAAGGCCCUAGGGUUGUAAAGCUCUUUCACCGGUGAAGAUAAUGACGGUAACCGGAGAAGAAGCCCCGGCUAACUUCGUGCCAGCAGCCGCAGUAACAC